UUCAUGUUUGUUGACCUACUAGCUAUGGGUUUAUUCGGAACAAGCAUGGAAAAACUAAAUAGUUCAGCUCACUAACCGAAUAAGGCGAGCUGCAAGUAAUGAAUGAAGGAAACUUCAGAAAAGCUUGUGGUCUUUUUAUUGUGCCUUAUUUUAGCUGAUUU
ncrna:Anaerococcus vaginalis DTF2800 RNA